UCUCUGGGCAAACACACAAGAGGGAUGAUAGGAAACAGUUUCUACAGCAGAUCUCUCUCUGGGCUGCGAGAAAUGGACAUGACUUCAUCCCUCCCCCCAACCCCAGCCCACCCCACCAGACCCUCCUGGAAUAUCUGCUGGGAUGCUCAAGGUGCCUCCACAACUCCAAGUAUAUAGCACAAUUCGAUUUGAGAUCUGCCGGAAAGAAGAAUGAGGAACAUGAAGAAGUCUUCAGUCCCCCAAUGGAUUGGAAGAAGGAAGAUGUGCAAUGUCCAACAUGAUGUUCUGAUUGUCUAGUUGGCGCAUGGAGGUGUCAGAAGAGGCUGGUGGAAAAUGCAAUGAGGAACUGACAAGAAAGAAUGCAAAGGAAGAAAGAUCUAGCUCUAACGAUCCAGCACGUUGCAAUGAAAAACCUGUUCUUUUGUGUGUAGGAAGGUCAGUAAACUUUGAAUCACCUUCUGUAUCUAUUCCUGGAGUUCUCCAGGAUGUACAAAGAGGCAGGCUUGCCGCUGCCUCCUUCAAAAAAAUACAGCACAGAGAGAGGGGGAAAUUGCCAUAAAUUUCCAUUAUUUAUACAAGAAGAUGAAGCGUAUGGCUGGCCAAAAGGCACACAGUAAUGCAUUUUGCAUAGUGCCAUAAUCUCCCCUUUGUGUUUCGAAAGCUAUCCAUUGCAAUCUGCCCUCCCUUCGGUGCACUUUGUCAAUUUGCCUUUUAAUUUAUUUAUUUUGUGUUCGAAAGUUAGAAUGACAAAAUACGAAAUAGUCUGAGCUCCAUCAGGUACGUCUGAUAUCUUUUUUUAUGGCCCCCUCUGCGUUUUAUUGUUCAUAGCAGCUCCGAGGAAUGUGCCUUGGCAAAGCAUAAACGUAUUUGUACGUUCCUCCUUCUCUACAGGAUGUGAUUUAGAAAUAAUAAAAUCUCUGGGUUUCAUGGAGAGCUUUGUAAUAUUUGGUGGGUGUCCCCCCCCCCCCGACUCAACUUCAUGUGAAUAUGUCAGAAUCCCAGCUUUAAUUUUUUUUUAAUUUGAUUUUAUAAUUUAAAAUGGCAUAGCUAGCCCUAGUCGUUGCAGAGAAAAGCUUGAAAACGCAACACAAGCUCGAAGGCUCAAAAACAGAAGGCAAAUAAAAAGAACCCAGA